ensembl:snoRNA U3 Small nucleolar RNA U3
AAGACUAUGCUUUCAGGGAUCAUUUCUGUAGUUCGUUACUGGAGGAGUUUCUCUGAACGUGUAGAGUAUCUGAAACCAUGAGGAUUAGGUACAGCAUCCUCUCCUGAGUGUGAAGCCAGCUCUGGGAGUUGCAUUUGUAACUGCCUUUGGCACUGAUGAUCGUUCUUCUCUUCCUUUGGGAGAGUGAGAGGGAGGGGAUGCCAUCUGAGUGGG